rnacentral:rRNA from 1 species
UGGCUCAGAACGAACGCUGGCGGCAUGCCUAAUACAUGCAAGUCGAACGAGAUCUUCGGAUCUAGUGGCGCACGGGUGCGUAACGCGUGGGAAUCUACCCUUGGGUUCGGAAUAACGUCGGGAAACUGACGCUAAUACCGGAUGAUGACGAAAGUCCAAAGAUUUAUCGCCCAGGGAUGAGCCCGCGUAGGAUUAGCUAGUUGGUGAGGUAAAGGCUCACCAAGGCUACGAUCCUUAGCUGGUCUGAGAGGAUGAUCAGCCACACUGGGACUGAGACACGGCCCAGACUCCUACGGGAGGCAGCAGUAGGGAAUAUUGGACAAUGGGGGCAACCCUGAUCCAGCAAUGCCGCGUGAGUGAUGAAGGCCUUAGGGUUGUAAAGCUCUUUUACCCGAGAUGAUAAUGACAGUAUCGGGA